CCUACGGGAGACAGCAGUGGGGAAUAUUGCGCAAUGGGGGAAACCCUGACGCAGCAACGCCGCGUGAGUGAAGAAGUAUCUCGGUAUGUAAAGCUCUAUCAGCGGGGAAGAAGGAAGACGGUACCCGACUAAGACGCACCGGCUAAAUACGUGACAGCAGCCCGGGUAACAUGUAGGGGGCGAGCGUUAUCCGGAUUUACUGGGUGUAAAGGGAGCGUAGACGGCGUCGAAAGUCUGAAGGGAAAGACCGUGGUUCAACCGCCGAACCACCGUUGAAACUGCGAGGCUGGAGUGCGGGAGAGGUAGGCGGAAUGCCUGGUGUAGCGGUGAAAUGCGUAGAUAUCACGCGGAACACCGGUGGCGAAGGCAGCUUACUGGACAGUGACUGACGUUGAGGCUCGAAAGCGUGGGGAGCGAACAGGAUUAGAUACCCCUGUAGUC
rnacentral:rRNA from 1 species